rnacentral:rRNA from 1 species
CCUACGGGAGGCUGCAGUGAGGAAUAUUGGUCAAUGGACGAGAGUCUGAACCAGCCAAGUAGCGUGAAGGAUGACUGCCCUAUGGGUUGUAAACUUCUUUUAUAUGGGAAUAAAAUGUUCCACGUGUGGGAUUUUGUAUGUACCAUAUGAAUAAGGAUCGGCUAACUCCGUGCCAGCAGCCGCGGUAAUACGGAGGAUCCGAGCGUUAUCCGGAUUUAUUGGGUUUAAAGGGAGAGUAGGGGGAUUGUUAAGUCAGUUGUGAAAGUUUGCGGCUCAACCGUAGAAUUGCAUGUGAAACUGGCAGUCUUGAGUACAGUAGAGGUAGGCGGAAUUCGUGGUGUAGCGGUGAAAUGCUUAGAUAUCACGAAGAACUCCGAUUGCGAAGGCAGUUCACUGGACUGCAACUGACACUGAGGCACGAAAGUGUGGGUAUCAAACAGGAUUAGAUACCCUAGUAGUC